GUCAGCAACCCAAUCCCCUCAAAGGGAGAGGCUUGCGUAUUGUUGGGAGCGUUAUCCCAGGCUGUUGCAAGCGUUCCUGCUGACUAGUCUCAGCCAGGGCCUCUUCUGAGGCUAUCGGGCUACGUUCGGAAAGUCAUGCUACCUACAAAUGCCUACUCUAGUUUGUAGCUCUAGCGCCUGUGAUUAAAAGUUCUGGUGGGGAGGAACGGUGUUGCAGGCCGAAUAAGCUUUCUGAACCUUGACGAAGAGUACCGUACAUGUGUGCGGACGUGGGUUUCGUCUUGUUCGAGACCGUUCGAGUACCAGGCCGCACUUCUGGUACUCCCCCGCAAGGGG
rnacentral:sRNA from 1 species